rnacentral:rRNA from 1 species
AUUGAACGCUGGCGGCAUGCCUUACACAUGCAAGUCGAACGGUAACAGGUCUUCGGAUGCUGACGAGUGGCGAACGGGUGAGUAAUACAUCGGAACGUGCCCGAUCGUGGGGGAUAACGAGGCGAAAGCUUUGCUAAUACCGCAUACGAUCUACGGAUGAAAGCGGGGGAUCUUCGGACCUCGCGCGGACGGAGCGGCCGAUGGCAGAUUAGGUAGUUGGUGGGAUAAAAGCUUACCAAGCCGACGAUCUGUAGCUGGUCUGAGAGGAUGAUCAGCCACACUGGGACUGAAACACGGCCCAGACUCCUACGGGAGGCAGCAGUGGGGAAUUUUGGACAAUGGGCGAAAGCCUGAUCCAGCCAUGCCGCGUGCAGGAUGAAGGCCUUUGGGUUGUAAACUGCUUUUGUACGGAACGAAAAGCCUCUUUCUAAUAAAGAGGGGUCAUGACGGUACCGUAAGAAUAAGCACCGGCUAACUACGUG